rnacentral:rRNA from 1 species
UACAGAGGUCUCAAGCGUUGUCCGGAAUUACUGGGCGUAAAGAGCUCGUAGGUGGUUUGUCGCGUUGUUCGUGAAAACUCACAGCUUAACUGUGGGCGUGCGGGCGAUACGGGCAGACUGGAGUACUGCAGGGGAGACUGGAAUUCCUGGUGUAGCGGUGGAAUGCGCAGAUAUCAGGAGGAACACCGGUGGCGAAGGCGGGUCUCUGGGCAGUAACUGACGCUGAGGAGCGAAAGCGUGGGGAGCGAACAGG